AUAAAAAAAGCUAUUUGCAGGAAAUUGCAUCUGCAGAUCACUGUGUAACAAGUGGCUUUUGUUAUUCAUGUUUUUAUAGGUGGAGUGAGUUGGGGGUGCCUGUUUUACUUAACCUGGUCCUUUCUUUUUUUGAAUCAUGAUACUCCAGUUAUCUGCCUCUUUGCUGUACAGCAUAUUGCUAAAUUAGACAGAUAAUGUACUUUCCCUUAGUCUAAGAACAGACCAGCCUUCUGACAAUAAGGGUAUUGCAGACAGGAGACCACACAUGGGUGUACAGCCAGCUGGCAGGAAUGAAGAGAGUUUUGAGGAAGCAUGAUUGUGCAAAUUGGAGAAGUAAAGAAGGAAGUGUGAUCACUUAAUUUGUCCCAAGAGACAAAACUAAAAGAGCCAGCACUCCAAAACUUGCUGUUGUGUCAUUCUGAAUGAGUGAUUUGUACAUGGAAAAUGUACCGUUGUCUUCAGUUUUGGAGCCUCCAGUCUCUGGAUGAAUACAUGACAAGGAUUUGUGGCAUGCCCUAACAGUUCUGUGCCUGUGCCACUAUUGAGGAGAAGCGUAGGCAACAGCCAGAAAACCACCGGUACAAAGAACAGCAAGGACAGCAGCACCAGAAUGACUGCUGCUAAAGCCAGUAUCAUCUCCGCUGUUGGAAGAACCAGGGAAUUCAAGAGAACUCCGUGAGUGUAGGUCAGGCCCUAGGCAAACAUGUGGAAUGCUAUGAACAGUACAGACCUGGCUCUUUGGAAUUCUUUCCAAAACUAAAUAAAGGGAAAUUGUGGCCCUGAGAGAACAGUAUCCUGGUGUCCUGACUAAAUUCUCAACUCUGGGCUUGUGCAAUGAGCUUCCCUAAAGCUCCUAUAUUUGUUCCUUUGCACUGUAAGAGGACAAGGCUAAAAGCCCACCCAGACUUAUUUCUUACACCAACUGCUUUGACACUUAAAAGAUUAAAUUUAAAGUUCAGAACUUAAACACAGAAGGUAUUGUUUACAGUACCUGGUUUAGGGAUGAUGUGUAUUGUUUUAUUGCCACUGUAUUCGUCUUGAAUGAUUGUCAGCACUGUACUGUUUGCACGGCAGUAGU